rnacentral:rRNA from 1 species
AGAGUUUGAUCCUGGCUCAGGACGAACGCUGACGGUGUGCUUUAGGCAUGCAAGUCGAACGAGAAAGCCCUUCGGGGUGAGUAGAGUGGCGAACGGGUGAGUAACACGUGGGCAACCUGCCCCUCGCAGGGGGACAACCGGAGGAAACUCCGGCUAAUACCCCGUACGCUUGUUGGAUCGCAUGGUCCGGCAAGGAAAGGUAGCUUCGGCCAUCUGGCGAGGGAUGGGCCCGCGUUGCAUUAGCUAGUUGGUGGGGUAACGGCCUACCAAGGCGACGAUGCGUAGCUGGUCUGAGAGGAUGAUCAGCCACACUGGGACUGAGACACGGCCCAGACUCCUACGGGAGGCAGCAGCCAGGAAUCUUGGGCAAUGGGCGAAAGCCUGACCCAGCAACACCGUGUGGGCGAUGAAGGCCUUAGGGUCGUAAAGCCCUGUUGAUAGGGACGAAGGGCGAAGGGUUAAUAGCCCCUAGCUUGACGGUACCUUUCGAGGAAGCCCCGGCUAACUACGUGCCAGCAGCCGCGGUAAUACGUAGGGGGCGAGCGUUGUCCGGAAUUAUUGGGCGUAAAGAGCGUGUAGGCGGUUCGGUAAGUCUGCUGUGAAAUCCUGGGGCUCAACCCUGGGCGUGCAGCGGAUACUGCCGGGCUAGAGGGUGGUAGAGGCGAGUGGAAUUCCGAGUGUAGCGGUGAAAUGCGCAGAUAUUCAGAGGAACACCAGUAGCGAAGGCGGCUCGCUGGGCCACACCUGACGCUGAGCGCGAAAGCGUGGGGAGCGAACAGGAUUAGAUACCCUAGUAGUCC